rnacentral:misc_RNA from 1 species
AAUCUCCCACCCCAAGCGGUUUUUGAAUGAAACGGCUUGGCGGAUGGGGUCUGGAUGGGUGCCUCUGCCUGUGCUUACCUUUUAGCCCACAGGCUCGCCCGAAAUGCAUGAGCGCCUUGGGACACUUUGCAUCCGCCUCUCUUGUGGGAGGAGGCGGCCAAGCAGUGUUUUUCUCCAGGCAUGGCAUGAUACGUCAUUUGCUAUGUCGCCCAAUGGAGGAAUGUUUGGUUGUGUCUGCGUGUGCUUCGAACUUGCCUCUGUGCAAAUCCCCUUUCAC